AGCAGACCCUCCCACCUACUGGAAGGCAUCCAUUUUACAUUCAUUCUCAAGCUGCAUGCUUAGUGAGAGGAGGGAAAGUGUAGUUGCUGUUGAUUAGAUAGGGAAAUGCAUAGCUAGGUUAGGGUAUACAGUGUCCACUACAGUCCUGAAGGACUCAUCUGAUCUCUGCUGUAAGGACAGCACCCCAAAAAGCCCUUUUUAGGGC